rnacentral:lncRNA from 10 species
AAACAGAAUGCAGAUACUGGGCAGCAAAAGCUUAGUAGUGUAAGACUGAGACAGAUACUGCAAGACUCAGAGAAGGGAGAGCUCAGCCCAGCCUGGGAGAAGAGGGAAGGGCUCAAUCCCAGUCCCUUCAUUUCAUGGAUGGAAAUUAAGGUCCAGCAAAGACAAGUGGCAUGUCCAUCCUUAAUGACCAGGCAGGGAUGAAGGUGGCAGGGAGAAAGGUAAAACUGGUCACCUGAAGGAAAUUUGGCAUGGGAACCCCAGAGGAUACACCCCACCCAUCCUAACUCAUUUCAUAAUCUCUCCUCACUCCGUUCCUCUCUUUCAGCCUCUUUCUCCUGUGAAGGGCCAGAAAUCACCCUCAUAUUUUCUAUCAUAUUAGAUUCUCCCUUCUAAAAGUCUAUCAAAUUCAUCCACUUUUCUUCAACCCCAUUGAAUCUGAUCUUUUCCGGGCUACUUUCAUCUCUCACCUUAACCACCAUAAUAGCUUCUUAAGUGGCCUUUCUUCAGGCUCACCUCUCUCAAUCCAUUCUCUACUCUGCAGCUAGUGAGCAUUUAAAACAAAAGACACUUUCUCCUUUAGAUCGCUCCAGAGGCUCUUUACCUUCUAUAGGAUGAGUUCUGCCUGCUUACCUGACAGAUCACAUUCUUCACCAUCUGAGCCAUUGCCUGCCUCUCCAGACUUAGCCCUUAAACAUAUCCCCUUCAUAACCCAGCUUCCAGUGCCACGGAAUUUCUCAGGCUCCCUGAGCUGUUCUAUUGCACUCUACCCUACUCUCGUGUGCUGUUUUGCUGCCUGGAGGACACUUCCCCUUAUUGGGGUUAUUUCUCCUAUGAAGGCUUCCUGGAUCCCCCUGUCCAGUGUAGAGUAGGCAAAUCAAUCAAUAGAAAAUAGACCCACAAACGACAAAUAAUAUAAUCAGCAGACCAGAAAGUCAACACAGUUUAAAAAAUACAUUCCAUUUUUUUCAAGAAAGU